rnacentral:rRNA from 1 species
UGAUUCCUGGCUCAGGACGAACGCUGGCGGCACGCUUAACACAUGCAAGUCGAACGAGAGAAGAGAAGCUUGCUUUUCUGAUCUAGUGGCGGACGGGUGAGUAACACGUGAGCAAUCUGCCUUUCAGAGGGGGAUACCGAUUGGAAACGAUCGUUAAUACCGCAUAACAUAAUUGAACCGCAUGAUUUGAUUAUCAAAGAUUUAUCGCUGAAAGAUGAGCUCGCGUCUGAUUAGCUAGUUGGUAAGGUAACGGCUUACCAAGGCGACGAUCAGUAGCCGGACUGAGAGGUUGAUCGGCCACAUUGGGACUGAGACACGGCCCAGACUCCUACGGGAGGCAGCAGUGGGGAAUAUUGCACAAUGGAGGAAACUCUGAUGCAGCGAUGCCGCGUGAGGGAAGAAGGUUUUAGGAUUGUAAACCUCUGUCUUCAGGGACGAAAAAAGACGGUACCUGAGGAGGAAGCUCCGGCUAACUACGUGCCAGCAGCCGCGGUAAUACGUAGGGAGCGAGCGUUGUCCGGAAUUACUGGGUGUAAAGGGAGCGUAGGCGGGAUCGCAAGUCAGAUGUGAAAACUAUGGGCUUAACCCAUAAACUGCAUUUGAAACUGUGGUUCUUGAGUGAAGUAGAGGUAAGCGGAAUUCCUAGUGUAGCGGUGAAAUGCGUAGAUAUUAGGAGGAACAUCAGUGGCGAAGGCGGCUUACUGGGCUUUAACUGACGCUGAGGCUCGAAAGCGUGGGGAGCAAACAGGAUUAGAUACCCUGGUAGUCCACGCCGUAAACGAUGAUUACUAGGUGUGGGGGGACUGACCCCUUCCGUGCCGCAGCAAACGCAAUAAGUAAUCCACCUGGGGAGUACGACCGCAAGGUUGAAACUCAAAGGAAUUGACGGGGGCCCGCACAAGCAGUGGAGUAUGUGGAUUAAUUCGAAGCAACGCGAAGAACCUUACCAGGUCUUGACAUCGUAUGCAUAGCUCAGAGAUGAGUGAAAUCUCUUCGGAGACAUAUAGACAGGUGGUGCAUGGUUGUCGUCAGCUCGUGUCGUGAGAUGUUGGGUUAAGUCCCGCAACGAGCGCAACCCUUACUGUUAGUUGCUACGCAAGAGCACUCUAGCAGGACUGCCGUUGACAAAACGGAGGAAGGUGGGGAUGACGUCAAAUCAUCAUGCCCUUUAUGACCUGGGCCUCACACGUACUACAAUGGCUGUCAACAGAGGGAAGCAAAGCCGCGAGGUGGAGCAAACCCCUAAAAGCAGUCUUAGUUCGGAUUGUAGGCUGCAACCCGCCUACAUGAAGUCGGAAUUGCUAGUAAUCGCAGAUCAGCAUGCUGCGGUGAAUACGUUCCCGGGCCU